AUUGAACGCUGGCGGCAUGCCUUACACAUGCAAGUCGAACGGUAGAGGGGGCAACCCCUUGAGAGUGGCGAACGGGUGAGUAAUAUAUCGGAACGUGCCCAGUCGUGGGGAUAACGUAGCGAAAGUUACGCUAAUACCGCAUACGAUCUAUGGAUGAAAGCGGGGGAUCGCAAGACCUCGCGCGAUUGGAGCGGCCGAUAUCAGAUUAGGUAGUUGGUGAGGUAAAGGCUCACCAAGCCGACGAUCUGUAGCUGGUCUGAGAGGACGACCAGCCACACUGGGACUGAGACACGGCCCAGACUCCUACGGGAGGCAGCAGUGGGAAUAUUGGACAAUGGGCGAAAGCCUGAUCCAGCAAUGCCGCGUGAGUGAUGAAGGCCUUAGGGUUGUAAAGACUCUUUUACCCGAGAUGAUAAUGACAGUAUCGGAGAAUAAGCUCCGGCUAACUCCGUGCCAGCAGCCGCGGU
rnacentral:rRNA from 1 species